rnacentral:rRNA from 1 species
GGUCAAGUGACUAAGCGUGCACGGUGGAUGCCUUGGCAGUCAGAGGCGAUGAAGGACGUGGUAACCUGCGAUAAGGUUCGGUGAGUCGGUAAACAGACUUUGACCCGGACAUUUCCGAAUGGGGAAACCCACCCAGUAUAAGCUGGGUAUCUCUUGAGUGAAUACAUAGCUCUUGAGAAGCGAACCCGGGGAACUGAAACAUCUAAGUACCCGGAGGAAAAGAAAUCAACCGAGAUUCCCCUAGUAGCGGCGAGCGAAC